UGCAUGGCUGUCGUCAGCUCGUGUCGUGAGAUGUUGGGUUAAGUCCCGCAACGAGCGCAACCCUUGCCUUUACGUUGCCAGCAGUUCGGCUGGGCACUCUAAAGGGACUGCCGGUGUCAAACCGGAGGAAGGUGGGGAUGACGUCAAGUCCUCAUGGCCUUUAUGGCCAGGGCUACACACGUACUACAAUGGCCGGUACAAAGGGCAGCGACAUUGCGAGAUGGAGCGAAUCCCGAAAAGCCGGUCUCAGUCCGGAUUGGAGUCUGCAACUCGACUCCAUGAAGUUGGAAUCGCUAGUAAUCGUGGAUCAGCAUGCCACGGUGAAUACGUUCCCGGGCCUU
rnacentral:rRNA from 1 species